GACGAACGCUGGCGGCGUGCCUAACACAUGCAAGUCGAACGGGGGUAUUUAUUUCGAUGAAUACCUUAGUGGCGAACGGGUGAGUAACGUGUGAGCAACCUAUCCUUAAGAGGGGGAUAACAUCUGGAAACAGAUGCUAAUACCGCAUAAGACCACACUGCCGCAUGGCAGAGGGGUCAAAGGAGCAAUCCGUUUAAGGAGGGGCUCGCGUCCCAUUAGAUAGUUGGUGAGGUAACAGCUCACCAAGUCAGCGAUGGGUAGCCGAGCUGAGAGGCUGAUCGGCCACACUGGAACUGAGACACGGUCCAGACUCCUACGGGAGGCAGCAGUGGGGAAUAUUGGGCAAUGGGGGGAACCCUGACCCAGCAACGCCGCGUGAGGGAAGAAGGCCUUCGGGUUGUAAACCUCUGUCAUUAGGGAGAAGAAAGUGACGGUACCUAAUGAGGAAGCCCCGGCUAACUACGUGCCAGCAGCCGCCGUAA
rnacentral:rRNA from 1 species